rnacentral:rRNA from 1 species
UUGCUAGAAUAUGACGAGCGGCGGACGGGUGAGUAAUGCUUGGGAACAUGCCUUGAGGUGGGGGACAACAGUUGGAAACGACUGCUAAUACCGCAUAAUGUCUACGGACCAAAGGGGGCUUCGGCUCUCGCCUUUAGAUUGGGCCAAGUGGGAUUAGCUAGUUGGUGAGGUAAUGGCUCACCAAGGCGACAAUCCCUAGCUGGUUUGAGAGGAUGAUCAGCCACACUGGGACUGAGACACGGCCCACACUCCUACGGGAGGCAGCAGUGGGGAAUAUUGCACAAUGGGCGCAAGCCUGAUGCAGCCAUGCCGCGUGUGUGAAGAAGGCCUUCGGGUUGUAAAGCACUUUCAGUCAGGAGGAAAGGUUAGUAGUUAAUACCUGCUAGCUGUGACGUUACUGA